GUGAUGAGUAGAGGUUCAAGCGAUGUGUGAGCGGCCUUCAGCGGCUCUGA
rnacentral:snoRNA from 1 species